GUACCCUAGUGGUUAGAGUGUAGGGGCGGCAGGUACCCUAGUGGUUAGAGUGUAGGGGCGGCAGGUACCCUAGUGGUUAGAGUGUAGGGGCGGCAGGUACCCUAGUGGUUAGAGUGUAGGGACGGCAGGUACCCUAGUGGUUAGAGUGUAGGGGCGGCAGGUACCCUAGUGGUUAGAGUGUAGGGACGGCAGGUAGCCUAGUGGUUAGAGUGUAGGGGCGGCAGGUAGUCUAGUGGUUAGUGUAGGGACGGCAGGUACCCUAGUGGUUAGAGUGUAGGGGCGGCAGGUACCCUAGUGGUUAGAGUGUAGGGGCGGCAGGUACCCUAGUGGUUAGAGUGUAGGGGCGGCAGGUAGCCUAGUGGUUAGAGUGUAGAGGCGGCAGGUACCCUCGUGGUUAGAGUGUAGGGGCGGCAGGUACCCUCGUGGUUAGAGUGUAGGGGCGGCAGGUACCCUCGUGGUUAAAGUGUUGGACUAGUAACCGAAAGGUUGCAAGA
ensembl:lncRNA